rnacentral:rRNA from 1 species
AAAUUGAAGAGUUUGAUCAUGGCUCAGAUUGAACGCUGGCGGCAGGCCUAACACAUGCAAGUCGAACGGUAACAGGAAGCAGCUUGCUGCUUGCUGACGAGUGGCGGACGGGUGAGUAAUGUCUGGGAAACUGCC